AUUAGCUGACGAGUCCCAAACAGGACGACACGCGUGUCCUGGAU
rnacentral:hammerhead_ribozyme from 1 species